CCCUGCAACUCUGAUUCUGUGAACAGAAAUCACAAGUGGCUCUGUUGUGGCCUGUCAUCCAGUCACCAUGUACAAACAACUGUUUUGGAGCACACAAGUGCUAACUGCUGUGCUGGAAAGAGAGCUCAAUAUGUACUGGUUCCAUCCCCAGGUGCAGCUUGGUGACAGGAUUGUUUAAGGUGAAGUGACUCAGUGACACUCUCCUCUUGGAGCAGAUGAUGCCAGUUGCCAGCCUACAUCAUUUGAGCAACCAGCAUAGUCCACUCAGGAUGCAUCUGUGUUGGCUACCACAAACUGACUCAUGUUUGGGGCUUUUUACACCCUGUGGAUGUUUCACUGUAGGGCUGUAUUAGUCGCCAGCCUGCAUGCUGGAGCUGGCCUCUUUUCUUUUAAUUUUGCUGUUUGAGAGAUGAACUCAAAUUAAUGGUAAUGACUUACACACUGUCAUACAGAAAGCUAAAAAUCCCCAGAUCAAGUGCAGAUUAGGACCUGUCUUUGUAGUUUCCAAUCAUUACUUAUUUUUGCAAGGAGCAGUGGCAUACCACAGGCUGAAAAACAGUAACAUCACUUUUGCUGCUUGCACCUACAGAGCUGCCACUGCUUCCUUCAUAACCUUGAGUCAUAUAAUGCUUUGAAUCCUGACCUUUAAGAGGAUGAGUGGUAAGGUCUAAAUCCCAGAACACACCAAUCUGCUCACUUGUGAGAGAGCUGCAUCACUUCCUUCUUAUCUAAGCUUGUUUGAGUCAAGAACACCUCAACUUUGCAUGGAGGCAAAGCUACUGAAGGGGCUGGGCUCUCCAAAUCUGACUAAAAUCUGUUGAGCCUUAGGGCCUAGUUUAUUUCAAAAUCAUUUUCCUCUUUGAUAAGUCGUUAACUACAUUCUUAAAUAAAUAUUAUUGAGGUAUUCAUAACAUUCUGGGAUUAGCAGCCAUCUAUUGUAAUAACUGGGUAUAGGCUAAACUUUGGAGUGAAUGUUCGAACUUGUUAUAACCACCAUUAGAAUUGUUAAACCCUCUGGGAAUGUGCAAUUUCUACUCUAUUUGUAAUGAAUAUGUACAUAAUUGAGUAGGACUGCCAAGUAUUGGUGGCUCCUGUGUAAAUUUGUGUGUGUGAAUGGCAAAUGCAAAGCAAAGUAUCAAAAGAAGCCAGAAUGCUGGCCAAGAAUCUCAUGUAUCUCACGUGCAUCAUUCAAGCAGGAAGAGGUUCAUAAAAGAAAACAUCUGCAAUUAGUUAUAAUAGUUUUGACAUAAUGAGAUGCCAGUAAGAAAAAUAUAUAUCAAAAAGAGUAUGUUUAAAUUUCCAAACAAUCUUCAGAGAUACCUCCUGUUGUUUUGUUAUCUCUCUGGGAGUUAAUGAUGCCAGUGCUUUCCACUCAGAAGACAUUUUUAAUAACUUGUAUCAAAAAGUCAACCCAUGCUGCUACAGAAUAAUACAGAGGAAUGUAAUUUAAAAACAAAAACAGUUCCACAAAACUUUUCAAUCUUUUCGUGUGUUGAAAUGUUGAGUCCUAUUACAUAAGUGCUGCCUGUCAGUCAAGGUUACACACUUGAUUUUAAUUUCUUUUCAUCAUUUUUGUGCUAUCACCAAUUUAAGGGCAUCAUUUCAUCUCUGUAUUCAGCUACAGUGAUACUGGAUUAUGGCUUUGUUCUCUUAUCGUGCAGCAGAGGCCAAAAUUAGACUAUUUUAGGAUAUUUUUAUGUUACUAGCCAGUUCUUCAGAGAGUCUGGAACUAAUAUAUUGUAAAAGCAAUGUCAUUUGAAAGGAUGAGAUACAGAGAGACAAUUGUCUACUCACAUUCCACUAGAUAAAGAUGAUUUUGUCUCUCAAUGAUUUCCAAGAGUAUCCUCAAACUCUGUUCCUAUAAUAUUUCUGGAUGAUGCAAUGCAUUUUUUGGCAAUAGAAGGAAGUACAUUUUGUUGUUGUUGUUGUGUACCUGGUGUCAUCAUUUAUGCCAGUGCAGCCCCGGUGUGAUAAAGCUGAUCUCAUGGCAUUUUGCAGUCAUAUGUCUCAAUGUGAGCAGUGUCACUGUCUGCAGCUGUGACGACAUGGAGGUCAGGAAGAUGCAGUUUUGCAGCCUGGCUGCAGUCAUCAGUGUGGGACUGCAGGACAGGGCCACUGCAAGGAGGAAAUGACAUCUCCUAAUCUCUUCUCUCUCAAAACCUAUGCUGCCAAGAAGCAGAGAAACAGACUGAAAAAUUCUGCUAGCCUCAGUUGUGGCUGAGUGCUGUUGUCCUGUUGAGAUACAGGACGUUUUUACUUCCACUUUACUGUUUUGAUUAAACCAUAGAGGCUCAUUGCUC
ensembl:lncRNA